rnacentral:rRNA from 1 species
UACGGAGGGGGCUAGCGUUGUUCGGAAUUACUGGGCGUAAAGCGCACGUAGGCGGCUUUGUAAGUUAGAGGUGAAAGCCCGGGGCUCAACUCCGGAAUUGCCUUUAAAACUGCAUCGCUAGAAUUGUGGAGAGGUAAGUGGAAUUCCGAGUGUAGAGGUGAAAUUCGUAGAUAUUACGGAAGAACACCAGUGGCGAAGGCGACUUACUGGGACACAUAUUGACGCUGAGGUGCGAAAGCGUGGGGAGCAAACAGG